rnacentral:rRNA from 1 species
AUGCCCCUGGACUUCACCAAGCACUUUGUCGCGGUGCCGAUGGAGUUCAAGCUCAGGAACAACACCGGCUGCUCCUGGAAGGUGACGGUCAAGCUGAUGAACGGCAGGGUGACCCUGGAUCAGGGUUGGGCCACCUACGCAGCCGUUCAUCAGAUCAAGAUCGGCUACAUGGUGACGUUCAAACUCCUCACUCCCGACACCUUCAAGGUCAUCAUCUUCAACGAUGAUGGCAUUGGGGUCGUCAACAAGUGCGGGAAGCCUUCGCGCUAUGAUUUAUGCGUAGAACUGUUAUGA